NAUUUUGCUAAAAAUUAAAUAAUAAAAAUAUAUAUUAUAUAUAUAAUUAUUUAUUUAUAUAUAAAAUAUAAAUUAUAUAAAUUAUAUAAAUAUAAAAUAUAUGUAUUUGAGCUGUUAUCGAGCCGAACACGAGUGAGCUGACUCCAGCUCGUGUUCGGCUCGUUUAUUAAAUGAGCUAAAAAAUUCAGCUCGUAUUCGGCUCGUUUACUAAACGAGCGAGCCAAUAUCGAGCUCAUUUCGAGCCGAACACGAGCUGGCUCGCGAACAGCGAGCCGGAUUGCCACCCCUAACUGCAUGCAACUAAACGGUCCCUAAGA
rnacentral:lncRNA from 1 species